GGAGCCGUAGCGAAAGCGAGUUUUAACUGAGCGUUCAGUUACUUGACGUAGACCCGAAACCGGGCGACCUACCCAUGAGCAGGAUGAAGCGAAAGUAAAAUUUCGUGGAGGUCCGAACCCACGAGCGUUGAAAAGCUCGGGGAUGACUUGUGGGUAGCGGUGAAAUUCCAAUCGAGCCCGGAGAUAGCUGGUUCUCCCCGAAAUAGCUUUAGGGCUAGCCUCAAGGUGAGAGAUACGGAGGUAGAGCACUGAAUGUCCUAGGGGGUAUUGCACCUACCGAAGACUAUCAAACUCCGAAUGCCGUCAUCUUAUACUUGGGAGUCAGACUGUGGGUGAUAAGAUUCAUAGUCGAAAGGGCAACAGCCCAGAUCGUCAGCUAAGGUCCCUAAAUGUAAGUUAAGUGGUAAAGGAUGUGGGAUUGCACAGACAACCAGGAUGUUGGCUUAGAAGCAGCCACUCAUUCAAAGAGUGCGUAAUAGCUCACUGGUCGAGUGAUCCUGCGCCGAAGAUUUCCGGGGCUAAAACUUACUACCGAAGCUACGGCAUCAGUAAUGAUGGGUAGGGGAGCUUCCCAUACGGGUUGAAGCAUGACCGUAAGGACAUGUGGACAGUAUGGGAGUGAGAAUGUUGGCAUGAGUAGCGAGAUGUGGGUGAGAAUCCCACAGGCCGUAAACCCAAGGUUUCCAGGGGAAGGUUCGUCCGCCCUGGGUUAGUCGGGACCUAAGCUGAGGCCGAAAGGCGUAGGUGAUGGACAACAGGUUGAUAUUCCUGUACUACCGAUAACCGUUUGAGAGAAGGGAUGACACAGUAGGAUAAGCUAAGCACACUGUUGGUUAUGUGUGCCCAAGCAUUGAGGCAGUCAAAGUAGGCAAAUCCGCUUUGAUAAUGCUGGGAUGUGAUGGGGAGCGAAAUUUAGUAGCGAAGUAGCUGAUUUCACACUGUCAAGAAAAGUCUCUAUCGAGGUUAAAGGUACCCGUACCGCAAACCGACACAGGUGGGUGAGGAGAGUAUCCUAAGGCCAGCGAGAGAACUGUUGUUAAGGAACUCGGCAAAAUGACCCCGUAACUUAGGGAUAAGGGGUGCCACCAU
rnacentral:rRNA from 1 species